GCCCAGCGCUCCACCUUGGAAUUUCCUUUGACACUGGCUGUCUUGAGUUCUGGAGAGGUGAGUGGAAUGCCGAGUGUAGAGGUGAAAUUCGUAGAUAUUCGGCGGAACACCAGUGGCGAAGGCGACUCACUGGCCCGAUACUGACGCUGAGGCGCGAAAGCGUGGGGAGCAAACAGG
rnacentral:rRNA from 1 species